AGCAGCCGCGGUAACACCGGCAGCUCUAGUGGUAACAAUUUUAUUGGGCCUAAAGCGUCCGUAGCCGGUUUAAUAAGUCUCUGGUGAAAUCCUGCAGCUUAACUGUGGGAAUUGCUGGAGAUACUAUUAGACUUGAGACCGGGAGAGGUUAGAGGUACUCCCAGGGUAGAGGUGAAAUUCUGUAAUCCUGGGAGGACCGCCUGUUGCGAAGGCGUCUAACUGGAACGGUUCUGACGGUGAGGGACGAAAGUUAGGGGCGCGAACCGGAUUAGAUACCCGGGUAGUCCUAACUGUAAACGAUGCGGACUUGGUGUUGGGGUGGCUUUGAGCUGCUUCAGUGCCGAAGGGAAGCUGUUAAGUCCGCCGCCUGGGAAGUACGGUCGCAAGACUGAAACUUAAGGAAUUGGCGGGGGAGCACCACAACGCGUGGAGCCUGCCGGUUUAAUUGGAUUCAACGCCGGACAUCUCACCAGAGGCGGCAGCUGUAUGAUAGCCAGGUUGAUGACUUUGCUUGACUAGCUGAGGAGUGGUGCAUGG
rnacentral:rRNA from 1 species